rnacentral:lncRNA from 1 species
GAGAAUUGAAAAAUUAAAGCUAUCUUCUCUUCUUUAGGACUCAAUUAACCAGAGCCCUUCUCCUCCAAACAUGUCACUUAAUGAGACUGUUACUACAAUAAUUACACUUAAACAUAGGCAUCGUGAGAAAAAUGAAAAUUAUGUUCAGAUGGGGACAUGGAAGAAUGAGAAGACUGAACCAAAUCAAUACCUGUUGACUUUUAAGAAACAGAGAAAACAAUUAAGAGCACAAGAAAGGAAAUCUCUGGGACACCUGAGGAGACAUUUCAGAGGAGAAAGAGAAUCAAUUUCCAAGUAAUUUGGAAUGGAAGCAAGUCUGGCCGCAUUCUUUAUCUGGGAGCUCCUCUAAAAUCCUCCCACCACCACCAGGGUUUGAUGGUUAGGAGACUUAGCAACAGAAAGAGUAAAAAGAGAAAAUAAGCAGCGAAGCCUGUGCUUCCAUCUCCCCAGGGCAUGCCGAAAUAUUCACUCCUAGUUCUUCUUCAGGUGUCUCCUGAUGCCUAUGGUUUUGAUAUUGCUAUUUUGUCAUCAUUGUUUAAUUUCGGAUCCUGGUUUGCAAACUUGCAUCUUUCUGAAGACCAGUAAUGAUUUCUACGUUUCAACGAGCUAUUAAGUGUGUAUGUGGGGGGCAAGUGGAAUUGCUGCUGAAUGCAUAAAUUGAUUUGCACCUACAAUUUGCAUUUAUUCUGUGGGUAUAUUUGCCACUAAUGUUGUGACUGAACUGCCAUAAUGAAGAUUAAUUAUAUAAACAUUUUUUGCUGACUUUGUGAGCAGCUGAGUUGGUUGUUUUGCUUGAUUUUCCAAGCUUGGUGCUUAAGAGUAUGAUAGGAAACAUUUCUUGGAUUUGCUCAGCACCUUCAUAGAUGACGUGCCCCAGACCAGUCUUAUCUAAUAAACAUUUGUGGUGAGCUUUUCACUGGCUACACUGUUUCUGCUUACUUGAUUACAAAAGAAGAAGUAGAAGACCACU